rnacentral:rRNA from 1 species
GAUGAACGCUAGCGGCAGGCUUAAUACAUGCAAGUCGAGGGGUAACACGGGUAGCAAUAUCUGGUGACGACCGGCAAACGGGUGCGGAACACGUACAGAACCUUCCUUUAAGCGGGGGAUAGCCCAUAGAAAUGUGGAUUAAUACCCCAUAGUAAUAUUGUCUGGCAUCAGAUGGUAUUUAAAGAUUUAUCACUUAAAGAUGGCUGUGCGGCUGAUUAGGUAGUUGGUGCGGGAACGGCCCACCAAGCCAGCGAUCAGUAACUGGUGUGAGAGCACGACCAGUCACACGGGCACUGAGACACGGGCCCGACUCCUACGGGAGCAGCAGUAAGGAUAUGGUCAAUGGACGCAAGUCUGAACCAGCCAUGCCGCGUGAAGGAU